GAUCGCGAUGCGCCGGUGGGGUCUCGGGGGACAAGGGUGGACAUUCAAGACUGAGCCUUCUUCUUCUGGCUCGUACAUUUGUAUUGCAUCUCUUCUCGAGGGCCUCGGUGCUGCCGCAGCGCGUUGUGGCACAAUGUGGUACUACACUUAAAGCCUCACAACCGCGGACGUCUCGAUUUGUCUGUACUGUGCUUGUAUUUUCUUUGGCUUUUGACUAGCAUGCGAGUUGAACUGUUCGUCUGUCACUUGGCUUGUUUUUUUUCUUCGGCUUUUCUUGAUUUAUCUUUUUUUUUUUAACCAGCAAUCCCCGGUUUACUUCUUUUCUCGCGUGUAUGUAUUUCGCUGUAGAAGCCAUAUUUCUUAUGUUAGUUCUUUUUUGACAACGCCUUUACUUUAUUUUUACUGAAUUAUUGAGUUCAUAUCCACACGUCACAGUAAUCACGCGGCAGGUGUGUGCGUUUUUUUUUUCCGCCAUGCGCCGCCACAACGAACAGUUUUCCACGUGCUCGCGAUGUUCCUCCCGAUUGAUCUGGAAAAGACACGGCGUUGGGACUGCGAUUGCACCGGAGAGAGUCGCGUCGCUUCCUUCAAAGCCCGCAGUGAGCACAGAUGCGAGGUUGGUCAACUUUUUGUCGUUUCCGCACGCGCCUUUAAUGGACUAUCCGGCAUGCUAACGGCUGCGUUCGUUGCGGCAUCAAAUGCACCGUUCCUGACCUCAAAAGCUUUGUCCGUCCGAUAGUUUACGUUUUUAAAAACGUCUCAACAUUUGGCUGACUGAGGACGGCUGAAGAGCAAUGUCAAAAGCAAGGCAAACGGUGAACGGAUGACACAAGAACCACCGGCUUUAUCUUCGCUUUUUAUUUGGUACCCUCACAUAAGACUAUUGUAAGCUUAUGUUCAAUUAUGAAUUAUUUUCAUUUUAUAUUUGAGCAUUAUAUUCUUGUUUUCCAGUUACCCAAGUUAUAUUCCGUUUAAUAAUUGCUCAAACAAGCUUAUGUUGUUAUUGUCUGAUUGGCUGAAGAAAACCAGGAAGUGUUUGUGUUACCGGAAGAAGGUGUGUUCUCGUUCGUUCGUUCUUCGGGACGUGCAGACGUUGGAAAA